rnacentral:rRNA from 1 species
UACGUAGGGGGCGAGCGUUGUCCGGAUUUAUUGGGCGUAAAGAGCUCGUAGGCGGUUUGUCGCGUCUGCUGUGAAAACUCGGGGCUUAACCCCGGGCCUGCAGUGGGUACGGGCAGGCUCGAGUUCGGUAGGGGAGACUGGAAUUCCUGGUGUAGCGGUGAAAUGCGCAGAUAUCAGGAGGAACACCGAUGGCGAAGGCAGGUCUCUGGGCCGAUACUGACGCUGAGGAGCGAAAGCGUGGGGAGCGAACAGG